rnacentral:misc_RNA from 1 species
AACAAAGAACCUCUCAUCAUUACUUGCAGAUAAUUGUUUAUCGGGUUUCACAUAACAAGGCAAAAAACAAUAUCUUCUACCAAAGCCAAGAAGAUAAAAAAAAUGGGAAGGGACCCAACAGCCUAACAGUUUGCCACCAGCCCCACUUUCUAAGGACUGUGAAAUGAAAAUGCUGCAGGGAAGUUCUGCAGACCCGAGAAGAGAUGUUUUUUGGGUUUCCUCACAUAACAAAAGAAUGCUUUGUCUUUUGGCUCUCUCUAUUAAAUUAAAAGGCAGCUAAAAGAGGCUAGAGAGUAUAUGAAGAGGUCUGUAUUUUACCAAAAGCCUAUGCGAAAAUCUGUUUUGAAGAGAAUGAGAAAAUGGUGCCCAAGUGCCAAGCUUUUUUAAUAUCUGUAUUCACGUAUGAAGGGAUGUGGGAUGGGUGGGUCAAAUCUGGUGUAUGAGAGAGAGAGAGAGAGA